rnacentral:rRNA from 1 species
AUUGAACGCUGGCGGCAGGCCUAACACAUGCAAGUCGAGCGAGCGGCGGACGGGUGAGUAAUGUCUGGGAAACUGCCUGAUGGAGGGGGAUAACUACUGGAAACGGUAGCUAAUACCGCAUCCCAUCAGAUGUGCCCAGAUGGGAUUAGCUAGUGGGUGGGGUAACGGCUCACCUAGGCGCCGAUCCAUAGCUGGUCUGAUAGGAUGACCGGCCACACUGGAACUGAGACACGGUCCAGACUCCUACGGGAGGCAGCAGUGGGGAAUCUUGGACAAUGGGCGAAAGCCUGAUCCAGCAAUGCCGCGUGGGUGAAGAAGGCCUUCGGGUUGUAAAGCACUUUCAGCGGGGAGGCGUUACCCGCAGAAGAAGCAACGGCUAACUCCGUGCCAGCCGCCGCGGUAAUAC